ensembl:lncRNA
CUUUUGUAAAUGUUUUGUUUUUUAUUUAUACAAAUUAGCAACAAUUCUAAACCAGUUUUUGCAUUGUCAGUAUGGGGUAUUGUGUGUAGAUUUGAUUUAUUUAAAAAAAAGAAAUCCAUUUCAGAAUAAAUUUGUAAUGUAACAAAAUUUGGAAAAAGUCAAGUGGUCUGAAUAGUUCCCGAAGGCACUGUAUAAGUGAGUUUGUCCCAAUACUUUUAGUCGCCUCCAUUUUAGGUGACCAUGUGCAAAAACGUUCUUUUAACUUUUAAAUGUUCACCCAGAUGAACAUACCCUCAAAUUAAAGCUGACAGUCUGCACUUUAACCUCGUCAUUCUAUAAUGUCAAAUACAAAGUGCGUGAGUACAGAGACAAAAUGAAUUCAUUGUCACAACACAUUUGGAACUCACUGUAUUUUUCUUUUUGAUUUGAAUUGGAAAUAAUCACAUUAAAGUACUUCAUUGUUAAUCAGAAAUGAUUUGAUAUUGAGAUAACGGUUGCAGUGGAUCUUUAAGCUGGCAGUGUUCUUCAUUGUGGUCUUCAUCAACGCUGUUAAAAUGAACAGUAACCACAUUCCCAUCCACAGUUUUUAUGCGAGUAAAGUCAUACCGUAUAAAAAAAAAUGUAUCACGACAGCUGUGAUGGAAACAAGUAGUUUUGGUAUAAUUUUCUUUUUGUGUCAAAUUAUUUGGGCAAGAAAUGGUGGUGGAAAUAUUGGUAUAAUAUAUAGAGUAAACAUUGGAGUCCCACUAUUACUCUGGAAACCAUGAGUUUAUUAUUAGAGAUUAAAUCAAUUAUGAUGAUCUUCAGUGCAUGGUCAUCUUGAUGCUCCUUUCCCAUAAAUUCAAAGUAUUGUUUUAAAUUUACUUAGCAAAAUUAAAAGUAUAAAUCAUAUCAAAUUCCUUACAGUAUAUUAGGCAAACCAGACGGCACUGUUUUCUUGGAUAGCCAGGGGCACACUCCAAUAUUCAGAUACCAUUGAACACGUGCUUCGUUUGUGAGUCCGCCAGGUCUGAGGCAGGAGGGAAGACCAGGGUUGUUCUCUUGUGAGUCCGCCAGGUCUGAGGCAGGAGGGAAGACCAGGGUUGUUCUCUUGUGAGUCCGCCAGGUCUGAGGCAGGAGGGAAGACCAGGGUUGUUCUCUUGUGAGUCCGCCAGGUCUGAGGCAGGAGGGAAGACCAGGGUUGUUCUCUUGUGAGUCCGCCAGGUCUGAGGCAGGAGGGAAGACCAGGGUUGUUCUCCUGUGAGUCCGCCAGGUCUGAGGCAGGAGGGAAGACCAGGGUUGUUCUCUUGAUAAGUGUGUGAAUUUGACCAAUUUCCUGUCCUGCUAAGCAUUGAAAAAUGUAUGGAGUAAAAAGUUAUUCAGUGAAGUAAUAGUUUUCUGAAAUAAAUAUAAAGUACAGGUUCCUACAAAAAAAAUGACCUAAGUAGUACUUUACACCACUACCUCAACCAAAGUAAGCACAUUUGUUUUUUACUGGAGCCGUUUGUGAUAAAUCGGUAGAGUUAAAAAAUGUGAUCGAAACAUUUUUUUAUUCGGUGCAAAAAAGCACGUCAUCAGCAACUGACUGUUUGGUGGAAACCCCACUCCUCAAAUUGGAUGGAAACUUAGCUAGUGACUCACUGUGGAAAACAUGGUAACGAUUAAAAGUGUAAUCAUUGAUUGGGCUUGCAAAGAGCUCACCAGUUUGUUGUCCUAAAACCUGGAAAUUAUACUGAACAAAAAUAUAAACACAUGUAAAGUGUUGGUUUCAUGAGCUGAAAU